AGCCAUCUGCAUCGAGAUUAUUGACUCAAAGUCCGUUGUAUUUGAAAUUACGAUUGCGUCAACUGUUUCGCGGAGCUCUUGUUUUCAAUGAUAGGCCAAAGGACAUUCCAUUGUCAUUAUCAGGACAAACAUGAAGCCCUUGGCAUUGCUGACACUUCUGCUCAUCAUCAUGAGUGGUUCUGCAGUGGGACAAACAUUGAAAUCUAAUGUGACCGGCUCUGUUGGAAAGGAUGUACUUUUAUCAUGUACCUGUUCUAAUGACCGCAAAGAGCUGAUAUGGCAGAAAGGUGACACAGUAG